UGAGAGCUCGUAUCGCGCGCUAUUUACGUCUUUACGUAGUCACUGCGUUAGCGUCACUGCUUAUCAGUGACCGGAGAGAGGGCUAUUUUAUACCACAAUCAGUGCCUAUGUGGGAUUCGGACGAUUCGAACCAAUAAUCUCCCGUUUUGUUUCAGCUCGGAAAUCUGUACGCUGAUUCAAUGGACAAAGUUUGAAACAAUUGUUUCGCCUGAAAAUAGAUGGAAGCAUGAUCUAGUGGCUUGAAAAUGCAUAAGAAAACUGUUCUUCUUCGUCCAAUAACGACGAUAUUCAAAAUUAUAAUAUAUGUAUUGAAAUAAACGAGAAACGACAAAGGGCCUGGCUGCGUAAGGAAGUAAAAAGUGCCCCAAACCAAAACACCCGUUUUAUGGAAAACAUUGUGAAGGGAUCUAUGGUGAACAUUUUUUUUUCAGCCAUUCUUUGUGUGGACACCGACUGGACAACAUCGUUGCUGGACGAGCUGGAAGGCGAGGGAUCGAGUGCCUUUCUCAAGGCAAGAGGGCGGAGGUGGUAGCGCUGGAGUAGAGUAGAGUAGAGUUUUCGACGGGGCCUUUCUCAAGGCUAGAGAUGAAUGAACUGCAAAAGUUUAAAGUCUCUAUAAUACAAUACCGUCCUUCCUUCCUAUGGUGAAAAACAUACUUUUCAAUUUUUUGCACGCCAUUCUUGAUAGCUUCGAGAUAAAAAAUAGAAAAAAAUACUGAUAGUGUGCGUAACACUAUGGUGUAUCAAGAAAUAUUAUCAAAAUUUGUUUUCAUCAGAAAUUGAAAUACAGGUCGGACUCGAUUAUCCGGAGUAUUGAUUUUUUUUUCACUCCAGAUAAUCGAAUCCUCCGGAUAAUCGAGUCAAAACAUUUUUUUUUCUUUAUUUGUUUUUUUUGCAUGCAUUUUUCGUUUUUUAAAACUAAGAGAGAAAUUUGAUUUUUGAUUCAUCCCCUUAAAGUCAGAAAACACUUUUCUCACAUGAAAAAAAACAAAGACAGAGUUACAGAACUUUUUUUUUGUUUCGGACUCUGUUGCUUCAAACUGGCUCUACAUUAAAAAGUACGCUACAGAAGACGAUUCUGAUGCUUUCACUUGAAAGAUGAGAAAAUUUAGUA